UUUAAUUGAAGAGUUUGAUCAUGGCUCAGAUUGAACGCUGGCGGCAGGCCUAACACAUGCAAGUCGAGCGGCAGCGACAUAAACAAACCUUCGGGGGCGCUUAUGGGCGGCGAGCGGCGGACGGGUGAGUAAUGCCUGGGAAAUUGCCCUGAUGUGGGGGAUAACCAUUGGAAACGAUGGCUAAUACCGCAUGAUA
rnacentral:rRNA from 1 species